rnacentral:rRNA from 1 species
UUAAAUUGAAGAGUUUGAUCAUGGCUCAGAUUGAACGCUGGCGGCAGGCCUAACACAUGCAAGUCGAACGGUAACAGGAAUCAGCUUGCUGAUUCGCUGACGAGUGGCGGACGGGUGAGUAAUGUCUGGGAAACUGCCUGAUGGAGGGGGAUAACUACUGGAAACGGUAGCUAAUACCGCA